ensembl:snRNA U6 U6 spliceosomal RNA
UUACUCACUUCAGCAGUACAUAUUCUAAAAUUGGAACAAUACAGAGAAGAUUAGCAUGGCCCUUGAAUAAGGACCUCAAUCAAUUCAUGAAGAGUUCCAUAUAUUU